GACGAACGCUGGCGGCGUGCUUAACACAUGCAAGUCGAACGCUGAAGCUUGGUGCUUGCACUGGGUGGAUGAGUGGCGAACGGGUGAGUAAUACGUGAGUAACCUGCCCUUGACUCUGGGAUAAGCCUGGGAAACUGGGUCUAAUACUGGAUAUGACAUGUCACCGCAUGGUGGUGUGUGGAAAGGGUUUUACUGGUUUUGGAUGGGCUCACGGCCUAUCAGCUUGUUGGUGGGGUAAUGGCUCACCAAGGCGACGACGGGUAGCCGGCCUGAGAGGUUGACCGGCCACACUGGGACUGAUACACGGCCCAGACUCCUACGGGAGGCAGCAGUGGGGAAUAUUGCACAAUGGGCGGAAGCCUGAUGCAGCGACGCCGCGUGAGGGAUGACGGCCUUCGGGUUGUAUACCUCUUUCAUUACAGAAUAAGCGAAAG
rnacentral:rRNA from 1 species